AAUUUUGGAAGAGAUGCAUUUAUUAGAUAAAAAACCAAUACAUACUUUUUCAAGUAUGAAAUUUGGUGAUUUACAAUAACUUAGCAAAUCGCAUAGUGAAAACAGGCGAUAAAUCAUUCAAGUUUCUGACCUAUCAGCUUUCGACGGUAUGGUAUUGGCUUACCGUGGCAGUGACGGUUAACGGGGGAUUAGGGUUCGAUUCCGGAGAGGGAGCCUGAGAAACGGCUACCACAUCUAAGGAAGGCAGCAGGCGCGCAAAUUACCCAAUUCUAACAGCAUAAGAGAGGUAGUGACAAGAAAUAACAAUACAAGGCAGUUAAAAUGCUUUGUAAUUGGAAUGAUGGAAAUUUAAACACUUUUUAAAGUAUCAAUUGGAGGGCAAGGCUGGUGCCAGCAGCCGCGGUAAUUCCAGCUCCAAUAGCGUAUAUUAAAAUUGUUGCAGUUAAAAAGCUCGUAGUUGAAUUUCUGUUAAAAAUAACCGGUCUGCUUUUAAUAAAAGUGGUAUCUUGGUGUGUUUUUAGCAAUAAUGUCCUUUGAAAUGUUUUUUACUUUAUUGUAAUAAAUAAUAUUCAGGAUUUUUACUUUGAGAAAAUUAGAGUGUUUCUAGCAGGCUAACGCUUUGAAUACUGCAGCAUGGAAUAAUAAAAUAGGAUUUUAGUUCUACAUUAUUGGUUUUAAGAACUAAAUUAAUGAUUGAUAGGGACAGUUGGGGGCAUUUGUAUUUAACUGUCAGAGGUGAAAUUCUUAGAUUUGUUAAAGACAAACUACUGCGAAAGCAUUUGCCAAAGAUGUUUUCAUUAAUCAAGAAC
rnacentral:rRNA from 1 species